rnacentral:rRNA from 1 species
CAGCAGCCGCGGUAAUACCGGCGGCCCGGGUGGCGGUCACUAUUAUUGGGCUUAAAGCGUCCGUAGCCGGGUUGGGAAGUCCUCCGGGAAAUCUGGCCGCUUAACGGUCAGAAUGCCGGAGGAUACUCCCAGCCUAGGGAGCGGGAGAGGCCGAGGGUAUUCCCGGAGUAGGGGUGAAAUCCUAUAAUCCCGGGAGGACCACCUGUGGCGAAGGCGCUCGGCUGGAACGCGUCCGACGGUGAGGGACGAAGGCCAGGGGAGCAAACCGGAUUAGAUACCCGGGUAGUCCUGGCUGUAAACGAUGCGGACUUUGUGUCGGACAAGCUAUGAGCUUGUCCGGUGCCGGAGGGAAACCGUUAAGGCCGCCGCCUGGGGAGUACGGCCGCAAGGCUGAAACUUAAAGGAAUUAGGCGGG